AACGAACGUUAGCGGCGCGCUUAACACAUGCAAGUCGAACGCGAAAGUCCUUCGGGGCGAGUAGAGUGGCGGACGGGUGAGUAACGCGUGGGAAUCUACCCUAGAGCGGGGGACAACCCGGGGAAACCCGGGCUAAUACCGCAUACGUCCUACGGGAGAAAGAGGGCCUCUGCUUGCACGCUCUCACUCCAGGAUGAGCCCACGUCCGAUUAGCUAGUUGGUAGGGUAAAGGCCUACCAAGGCCACGAUCGGUAGCUGGUCUGAGAGGAUGAUCAGCCACACUGGGACUGAGACACGGCCCAGACUCCUACGGGAGGCAGCAGUGGGGAAUAUUGGACAAUGGGCGCAAGCCUGAUCCAGCAAUGCCGCGUGAGGGAUGACGGCCUCGGUGUAACGUACUUCUAGCAGGAGAAGACGAAAGU
rnacentral:rRNA from 1 species